GACAAACGCUGGCGGCGUGCCUAAAACAUGCAAGUCGAACGAACCUUCGGGUUAGUGGCGAACGGCUGAGUAACACGUAGGCAACCUGCCUCGGAGUGGGGGAUAACCCCCCGAAAGGGGAGCUAAUACCGCGUACGCUCAUUGAUCUCCGGAUUGAUGAGGAAAGAUUUAUCGCUCUGAGAGGGGCCUGCGGCCGAUUAGCUUGUUGGUAGGGUAACGGCCUACCAAGGCGAUGAUCGGUAGCUGGUCUGAGAGGAUGAUCAGCCAGACUGGGACUGAGAUACGGCCCAGACUCCUACGGGAGGCAGCAGUUAGGAAUUUUGGGCAAUGGGCGAAAGCCUGACCCAGCAACGCCGCGUGGGUGAUGAAGGCCCUCGGGUCGUAAAGCCCUUUUGUACGGGAAGAAGUUCUGACGGUACCGUACGAAUAAGCCCCGGCUAACUACGUGCCAGCCGCCGCAGUAAGAC
rnacentral:rRNA from 1 species